CUUGGUGAGAUUGUUCACGUGUUUUGGAAGGAUCUUAUUAAAUAAUAUUUCUACAUAUGUACAAGAAUGAAUAUACUGUUUGAAAAAGAAAGAAUUAUGAAGAAGGAAGAGUAAAAAAUUCGAAAGUUAGAGUCAAUCACAUGAUUUUAAAUCAAGAGAAAAUCAAGAAAAUAUUGAAUAUAAUAUCGACCGAAGAAAAGAAAUAUCAAGAAUGGAAUAUUAUAAAAACAAGGCAAUAUAGACUGUAAGAGAAGACUGAAUAAGACAAUAUAAAUGUAA